GGGUUGUGAGGUUAAGCGACUAAGCGUACACGGUGGAUGCCCUGGCAGUCAGAGGCGAUGAAGGACGUGCUAAUCUGCGAUAAGCGUCGGUAAGGUGAUAUGAACCGUUAUAACCGGCGAUUUCCGAAUGGGGAAACCCAGUGUGUUUCGACACACUAUCAUUAACUGAAUCCAUAGGUUAAUGAGGCGAACCGGGGGAACUGAAACAUCUAAGUACCCCGAGGAAAAGAAAUCAACCGAGAUUCCCCCAGUAGCGGCGAGCGAACGGGGAGGAGCCCAGAGCCUGAAUCAGUGUGUGUGUUAGUGGAAGCGUCUGGAAAGGCGCGCGAUACAGGGUGACAGCCCCGUACACAAAAAUGCACAUGCUGUGAGCUCGAUGAGUAGGGCGGGACACGUGGUAUCCUGUCUGAAUAUGGGGGGACCAUCCUCCAAGGCUAAAUACUCCUGACUGACCGAUAGUGAACCAGUACCGUGAGGGAAAGGCGAAAAGAACCCCGGCGAGGGGAGUGAAAAAGAACCUGAAACCGUGUACGUACAAGCAGUGGGAGCACGCUUAGGCGUGUGACUGCGUACCUUUUGUAUAAUGGGUCAGCGACUUAUAUUCUGUAGCAAGGUUAACCGAAUAGGGGAGCCGAAGGGAAACCGAGUCUUAACUGGGCGUUAAGUUGCAGGGUAUAGACCCGAAACCCGGUGAUCUAGCCAUGGGCAGGUUGAAGGUUGGGUAACACUAACUGGAGGACCGAACCGACUAAUGUUGAAAAAUUAGCGGAUGACUUGUGGCUGGGGGUGAAAGGCCAAUCAAACCGGGAGAUAGCUGGUUCUCCCCGAAAGCUAUUUAGGUAGCGCCUCGUGAAUUCAUCUCCGGGGGUAGAGCACUGUUUCGGCAAGGGGGUCAUCCCGACUUACCAACCCGAUGCAAACUGCGAAUACCGGAGAAUGUUAUCACGGGAGACACACGGCGGGUGCUAACGUCCGUCGUGAAGAGGGAAACAACCCAGACCGCCAGCUAAGGUCCCAAAGUCAUGGUUAAGUGGGAAACGAUGUGGGAAGGCCCAGACAGCCAGGAUGUUGGCUUAGAAGCAGCCAUCAUUUAAAGAAAGCGUAAUAGCUCACUGGUCGAGUCGGCCUGCGCGGAAGAUGUAACGGGGCUAAACCAUGCACCGAAGCUGCGGCAGCGACGCUUAUGCGUUGUUGGGUAGGGGAGCGUUCUGUAAGCCUGCGAAGGUGUGCUGUGAGGCAUGCUGGAGGUAUCAGAAGUGCGAAUGCUGACAUAAGUAACGAUAAAGCGGGUGAAAAGCCCGCUCGCCGGAAGACCAAGGGUUCCUGUCCAACGUUAAUCGGGGCAGGGUGAGUCGACCCCUAAGGCGAGGCCGAAAGGCGUAGUCGAUGGGAAACAGGUUAAUAUUCCUGUACUUGGUGUUACUGCGAAGGGGGGACGGAGAAGGCUAUGUUGGCCGGGCGACGGUUGUCCCGGUUUAAGCGUGUAGGCUGGUUUUCCAGGCAAAUCCGGAAAAUCAAGGCUGAGGCGUGAUGACGAGGCACUACGGUGCUGAAGCAACAAAUGCCCUGCUUCCAGGAAAAGCCUCUAAGCAUCAGGUAACAUCAAAUCGUACCCCAAACCGACACAGGUGGUCAGGUAGAGAAUACCAAGGCGCUUGAGAGAACUCGGGUGAAGGAACUAGGCAAAAUGGUGCCGUAACUUCGGGAGAAGGCACGCUGAUAUGUAGGUGAAGCGACUUGCUCGUGGAGCUGAAAUCAGUCGAAGAUACCAGCUGGCUGCAACUGUUUAUUAAAAACACAGCACUGUGCAAACACGAAAGUGGACGUAUACGGUGUGACGCCUGCCCGGUGCCGGAAGGUUAAUUGAUGGGGUUAGCGCAAGCGAAGCUCUUGAUCGAAGCCCCGGUAAACGGCGGCCGUAACUAUAACGGUCCUAAGGUAGCGAAAUUCCUUGUCGGGUAAGUUCCGACCUGCACGAAUGGCGUAAUGAUGGCCAGGCUGUCUCCACCCGAGACUCAGUGAAAUUGAACUCGCUGUGAAGAUGCAGUGUACCCGCGGCAAGACGGAAAGACCCCGUGAACCUUUACUAUAGCUUGACACUGAACAUUGAGCCUUGAUGUGUAGGAUAGGUGGGAGGCUUUGAAGUGUGGACGCCAGUCUGCAUGGAGCCGACCUUGAAAUACCACCCUUUAAUGUUUGAUGUUCUAACGUUGACCCGUAAUCCGGGUUGCGGACAGUGUCUGGUGGGUAGUUUGACUGGGGCGGUCUCCUCCUAAAGAGUAACGGAGGAGCACGAAGGUUGGCUAAUCCUGGUCGGACAUCAGGAGGUUAGUGCAAUGGCAUAAGCCAGCUUGACUGCGAGCGUGACGGCGCGAGCAGGUGCGAAAGCAGGUCAUAGUGAUCCGGUGGUUCUGAAUGGAAGGGCCAUCGCUCAACGGAUAAAAGGUACUCCGGGGAUAACAGGCUGAUACCGCCCAAGAGUUCAUAUCGACGGCGGUGUUUGGCACCUCGAUGUCGGCUCAUCACAUCCUGGGGCUGAAGUAGGUCCCAAGGGUAUGGCUGUUCGCCAUUUAAAGUGGUACGCGAGCUGGGUUUAGAACGUCGUGAGACAGUUCGGUCCCUAUCUGCCGUGGGCGCUGGAGAACUGAGGGGGGCUGCUCCUAGUACGAGAGGACCGGAGUGGACGCAUCACUGGUGUUCGGGUUGUCAUGCCAAUGGCACUGCCCGGUAGCUAAAUGCGGAAGAGAUAAGUGCUGAAAGCAUCUAAGCACGAAACUUGCCCCGAGAUGAGUUCUCCCUGACUCCUUGAGAGUCCUGAAGGAACGUUGAAGACGACGACGUUGAUAGGCCGGGUGUGUAAGCGCAGCGAUGCGUUGAGCUAACCGGUACUAAUGAACCGUGAGGCUUAACCUUACAACGCCGAAGCUGUU
rnacentral:rRNA from 1 species